GAUGAACGCUGGCGGCGUGCCUAAUACAUGCAAGUCGAGCGAACGGACGAGAAGCUUGCUUCUCUGAUGUUAGCGGCGGACGGGUGAGUAACACGUGGAUAACCUACCUAUAAGACUGGGAUAACUUCGGGAAACCGGAGCUAAUACCGGAUAAUAUUUUGAACCGCAUGGUUCAAAAGUGAAAGACGGACUUGCUGUCACUUAUAGAUGGAUCCGCGCUGCAUUAGCUAGUUGGUGAGGUAACGGCUUACCAAGGCAACGAUGCAUAGCCGACCUGAGAGGGUGAUCGGCCACACUGGAACUGAGACACGGUCCAGACUCCUACGGGAGGCAGCAGUAGGGAAUCUUCCGCAAUGGGCGAAAGCCUGACGGAGCAACGCCGCGUGAGUGAUGAAGGUCUUCGGAUCGUAAAACUCCGUUAUUAGGGAAGAACAUAUGUGUAAGUAACUGUGCACAUCUUGACGGUACCUAAUCAGAAAGCCACGGCUAACUACGUG
rnacentral:rRNA from 1 species